CCUUUUCUAUGUACUGAGCCUCUACGUGGCGAAAGGGAUCAACAGACUAUAUUUGUCUUGCUAAUCAGUA
rnacentral:ribozyme from 1 species